rnacentral:rRNA from 1 species
UACGUAGGGGGCUAGCGUUGUCCGGAAUCAUUGGGCGUAAAGAGCGUGUAGGCGGUCCGGUAAGUCCGCUGUGAAAGUCGGGGGCUCAACCCCGGGCGUGCGGUGGAUACUGCCGGGCUAGAGGGUGGUAGAGGCGAGUGGAAUUCCCGGUGUAGCGGUGAAAUGCGCAGAUAUCGGGAGGAACACCAGUAGCGAAGGCGGCUCGCUGGGCCAUUCCUGACGCUGAGACGCGAAAAGCAUGGG